rnacentral:rRNA from 1 species
GACGAACGCUGGCGGCGUGCUUAACACAUGCAAGUCGAACGGAAAGGCCCUGCUUGCAGGGUACUCGAGUGGCGAACGGGUGAGUAACACGUGGGUGAUCUGCCCUGCACUUCGGGAUAAGCUUGGGAAACUGGGUCUAAUACCGGAUAGGAACCAUCUUUAGUGUGGUGGUUGGAAAGUUUUUUCGGUGUAGGAUGAGCUCGCGGCCUAUCAGCUUGUUGGUGGGGUAAUGGCCUACCAAGGCGGCGACGGGUAGCCGGCCUGAGAGGGUGUACGGCCACAUUGGGACUGAGAUACGGCCCAGACUCCUACGGGGGGCAGCAGUGGGGAAUAUUGCACAAUGGGCGCAAGCCUGAUGCAGCGACGCCGCGUGGGGGAUGAAGGCCUUCGGGUUGUAAACUCCUUUCGCUAGGGACGAAGCUUUGUUGUGACGGUACCUAGAUAAGAAGCACCGGCUAACUACGUG